rnacentral:lncRNA from 1 species
UCCUCUUUUAAAUGAGGUGUGCCUCUAGCCCUCAUGUUUGUAUUUUUGAGCACUUCCAACUUCAAUUGAUAUUUCUCCAUGGGUGGCUGCAAUUUGGCAUCAAGUUCAAGCAAAAUAAAUUCUACCUUAUCCGGAGGUUUUGGAAGGCAUUGAUCUGCAUGCUCCUUUGGUUUGGGCUAUUGGACUACCAUUUGUCCCUCCUGGGCAUGGACUGUUUGCAUUGGAAGGAUGAAAGGAGUUUCAGUUUCCUCCUUCUGCAUAGGACCUAACUGAGGUGGAAGACUGAUUUGUGUUGGAAGCUGAAAGGACG